UACGUAGGUGGCAAGCGUUGUCCGGAUUUACUGGGCGUAAAGGGCGUGCAGGCGGUUUGUUAAGUGCAGGGUGAAAGCUCCCGGCUCAACUGGGAGAGGUCCUUGCAUACUGGCAAACUCGAGGGAGGCAGAGGAAAGUGGAAUUCCCGGUGUAGUGGUGAUAUGCGUAGAUAUCAGGAGGAACACCGGUGGCGAAGGCGGUUCUCUGGGCAUGAUCUGACGCUGAGGAGCGAAAGUGUGGGGAGCGAACAGG
rnacentral:rRNA from 1 species